ACCCUACAGGUCCUUGCCGGCCGAUAU
rnacentral:sRNA from 1 species